UUAGUUUCACUCUGUUGGAUAAACAGCGAGUAGUGUUUGAGGAAGGCCGUCGAGAGUUGAUUGUAGUUGUCGAUAGAAAGGGUUUCAAGGCGUGAGAACCAACCGAGGGCGAGUCCGCUCAAAUUUUCCACAAACAAUUGACAGAGACCGGCAUCGUGUUCUUCUGGUGAGAAAUUGGCUCUCCCGGUUGCGAUGCUGAAGGCGGUUAGAUACUCUCUUGGAUCAGAU
rnacentral:lncRNA from 1 species